rnacentral:rRNA from 1 species
CCUACGGGAGGCAGCAGUGAGGAAUAUUGGUCAAUGGGCGAGAGCCUGAACCAGCCAAGUCGCGUGAAGGAUGAAGGAUCUAUGGUUUGUAAACUUCUUUUAUAUGGGAAUAAAGUGAGGAACGUGUUCCUUUUUGUAUGUACCCUAUGAAUAAGCAUCGGCUAACUCCGUGCCAGCAGCCGCGGUAAUACGGAGGAUGCGAGCGUUAUCCGGAUUUAUUGGGUUUAAGGGGUGCGUAGGUGGGCAUUUAAGCCGGCGGUAAAAGUUUGUGGUUCAACCAUAACCUGCCGUCGGAACUGGGUGCCUUGAGUGUGCGAGAGGUAGGCGGAAUGCGUGGUGUAGCGGUGAAAUGCAUAGAUAUCACGCAGAACCCCGAUUGCGAAGGCAGCAUACCAGCG